UACGAAGGGGGCGAGCGUUGUUCGGAUUUACUGGGCGUAAAGCGCACGUAGGCGGUUCGUUAAGUCGGGGGUGAAAUCCUGGAGCUCAACUCCAGAACUGCCUUCGAUACUGGCGAUCUUGAGUCCGGAAGAGGUGAGUGGAACUCCUAGUGUAGAGGUGGAAUUCGUAGAUAUUAGGAAGAACACCAGUGGCGAAGGCGGCUCACUGGUCCGGUACUGACGCUGAGGUGCGAAAGCGUGGGGAGCAAACAGG
rnacentral:rRNA from 1 species